AAGCAGGUCAUAGUGAUCCGGUGGUUCUGAAUGGAAGGGCCAUCGCUCAACGGAUAAAAGGUACUCCGGGGAUAACAGGCUGAUACCGCCCAAGAGUUCAUAUCGACGGCGGUGUUUGGCACCUCGAUGUCGGCUCAUCACAUCCUGGGGCUGAAGUAGGUCCCAAGGGUAUGGCUGUUCGCCAUUUAAAGUGGUACGCGAGCUGGGUUUAGAACGUCGUGAGACAGUUCGGUCCCUAUCUGCC
rnacentral:rRNA from 1 species